rnacentral:misc_RNA from 1 species
UACGUAGGGUGCGAGCGUUGUCCGGAAUGAUUGGGCGUAAAGGGCACGUAGGCGGUGUGUCACGUCGGUCGUGAAAACUUGGGGCUUAACCCUGAGCGUGCGGUCGAUACGGGCAUCACUUGAGUUCGGCAGGGGAGACUGGAAUUCCUGGUGUAGCGGUGAAAUGCGCAGAUAUCAGGAGGAACACCGGUGGCGAAGGCAGGUCUCUGGGCCGAUACUGACGCUGAGGAGCGAAAGCGUGGGGAGCGAACAGG